rnacentral:rRNA from 1 species
CCUACGGGGGGCUGCAGUGGGGAAUAUUGGACAAUGGGGGGAACCCUGAUCCAGCCAUGCCGCGUGUGUGAAGAAGGCCCUCGGGUUGUAAAGCACUUUCAGUGAGGAAGAACGCCUGGUGGUUAAUACCCAUCAGGAAAGACAUCACUCACAGAAGAAGCACCGGCUAACUCCGUGCCAGCAGCCGCGGUAAUACGGAGGGUGCGAGCGUUAAUCGGAAUUACUGGGCGUAAAGCGCGCGUAGGUGGCUUGAUAAGCCGGUUGUGAAAGCCCCGGGCUCAACCUGGGAACGGCAUCCGGAACUGUCAAGCUCGAGUGCAGGAGAGGAAGGUAGAAUUCCCGGUGUAGCGGUGAAAUGCGUAGAGAUCGGGAGGAAUACCAGUGGCGAAGGCGGCCUUCUGGACUGACACUGACACUGAGGUGCGAAAGCGUGGGUAGCAAACAGGAUUAGAUACCCUGGUAGUC